CCAUUCUUGACCGCCGUACCAAUUUGGGAACACUUACUUAUUGAAGUGAAAUAAAAAAAGUGUUGACUUUAGUUAAUAUAUUAUUACAUUUAUGAGUAGUUGAAAGUGCAGUGAUUGAAUAUAAAAUAAAAUAAAAAAAUUAUCAUCAGUAUUAUUUUAGUAACGAUCCAUCAAAUUUCGUUAUCGAGAGACAUGUGGAGAUUAUCAAGAUGACCUGAAAAGGCAUUAUAGUGCCAAAUACAACCUUUGAAGAUAAGAGGAAGCUAUUAAUUCGAUCUUAGAAGAUAGAGAUAACAGUUUGAAGUAUGAUUUCGCUAUAAAUCUACGAAAGGUUGACGCCGUUACUGAUGAAGAAGUAGGGUCUGAUGACAACGAGACUCCAUCAAGCUUGCCAAAUGACGUUGUUGGAAAUAUGGAAAUACUAGCGACCACUUGCGGCUUAGCUCCCGUGGGAAUUUUGCAAAAUACGACCUUAUUCUUCAUCAACGUUAUAAAAGAAACAUUUAUGCAAAAUUUCAGCUUUCUCGAUCCAAGAGUUUGGGCUGGGCGCUGAUGUGUAAGUUGCUGAGUGAGUCCGAUUUUUUUUUUUUUUAUUUAGAUUUGUUCACAAUGUUGGUAGGUACUCUUUCUGGUGCUGAAGGCAGCAGUGACGACGAGUCGUUGGCUGUCAAAAGAGUUCUAAUUAGAAUCAGUUCGCCACAAACUGAAAAACUUAGUAUUGGACCAAAUCAAUCCAUUUUGAAUGUUUCAGUUUUGCGAAAGUGUACUGCAAGUUAUUUGAAAACUAACACAGAAUCUUACGAUUGAAUUCUGAAC